rnacentral:lncRNA from 1 species
AUGGUUAUCCUCCAUUUGAAAAGAAAAUUUAUUAAAUAAACCUGAGCCAAACAGCAUAAUCAGUAACUGAAGAACCUCUCUCACUAAUAAAUGUAAAUUCUCCCAUUAUAUCCCCUGAAUCUCUCCCAUUCAAAAUUAAUAAAUUUCAUUCCAUACAAAAAAUCAAGUAAACCUUUACCUCUAUCAUUAACAACUUGAUUUAUUACACAGGAAUUCUAAGGAUAAAUGUUCAAACAAUUAUAAAUAUACUCAUCAAUAUAAGCAAUAUUAGUUCCAAUUCUAGCAUUAAAAUCACCAGCAACUAGAACGUCAUUAUCCAAAUCUGCCAUAACUCUGGAUAAAUUUUGCAUAAUAAUGCUCCACUUAUUUUCUUGUAAAUACAAAAAUACACUUUAUAUAAUCACAUUUAAAUAUAACAUAAUUACAGUCUUUCCUAAUAAUCUCAAAAUCAAUAUUAUUCAGAAUUCAAAGUAUCCAGCCAUUAGUGAGUCUAUCCAUUUUACUUACUUUAAAACCAGGCAUAACAAUCAACUUAAAAUUAUCCAAAUCUUGAAAAUCCAGCCAAUCGUGUCACACCAUGUUUCAGAAAGAAAAAACAUAUUAAAGCUCAAAAUAUAUUCCCAAAAUUUACUACUCUUGUGCUGGCUUAAAGAAUAAUUCCACACCAAUAUCGAAAAACCAAUAUCUCAUUGUCACUUUGAAUCAUGAAAUUCUUUAACAGAAGAAGACAAAAUUAUCAUAAUAAUAUAACUUUCCAUCUAUUUUAAUUUUAUCAUAAACCAAAUUAAUCUCAUUUGCCCCAUUCUCUUUGCUUU